UAGGGGAUCUUGGACAAUGGGCGAAAGCCUGAUCCAGCCAUGCCGCGUGAGUGAUGAAGGCCUUAGGGAUGUAAAGCUCUUUCGCCAGGGAAGAUAAUGACGGUACCUGGAUAAGAAGCCCCGGCUAACUUCGUGCCAGCAGCCGCGGUAAUACGAAGGGGGCUAGCGUUGUUCGGAAUUACUGGGCGUAAAGCGCACGUAGGCGGCUUUCCAAGUUGGAGGUGAAAUCCCCGGGCUUAACCCGGGAACUGCCUCCAAAACUGAAAGGCGAGAGUCCGAGAGAGGUGAGUGGAAUUUCCAGUGUAGAGGUGAAAUUCGUAGAUAUUGGAAAGAACACCAGUGGCGAAGGCGGCUCACUGGCUCGGUACUGACGCUGAGGUGCGACAGCGUGGGGAGCAAA
rnacentral:rRNA from 1 species